rnacentral:rRNA from 1 species
CCCACUGCGGAUGAAGGGAGCUUGCUCCUGGAUUCAGCGGCGGACGGGUGAGUAAUGCCUAGGAAUCUGCCUGGUAGUGGGGGACAACGUUUCGAAAGGAACGCUAAUACCGCAUACGUCCUACGGGAGAAAGCAGGGGACCUUCGGGCCUUGCGCUAUCAGAUGAGCCUAGGUCGGAUUAGCUAGUUGGUGAGGUAAUGGCUCACCAAGGCGACGAUCCGUAACUGGUCUGAGAGGAUGAUCAGUCACACUGGAACUGAGACACGGUCCAGACUCCU